rnacentral:sRNA from 17 species
AGCUGUUCCCCUCUGGAGGUUUGAAACCUUCACAACUGAAAGGGCCCAAGUUUCUUGUGGCCCUCUUUUUUUGUCGGC